rnacentral:rRNA from 1 species
AUUGAACGCUGGCGGCAGGCCUAACACAUGCAAGUCGAGCGGAUGAGAAGAGCUUGCUCUUCGAUUCAGCGGCGGACGGGUGAGUAAUGCCUAGGAAUCUGCCUGGUAGUGGGGGACAACGUUUCGAAAGGAACGCUAACACCGCAUACGUCCUACGGGAGAAAGCAGGGGACCUUCGGGCCUUGCGCUAUCAGAUGAGCCUAGGUCGGAUUAGCUAGUUGGUGAGGUAAUGGCUCACCAAGGCGACGAUCCGUAACUGGUCUGAGAGGAUGAUCAGUCACACUGGAACUGAGACACGGUCCAGACUCCUACGGGAGGCAGCAGUGGGGAAUAUUGGACAAUGGGCGAAAGCCUGAUCCAGCCAUGCCGCGUGUGUGAAGAAGGUCUUCGGAUUGUAAAGCACUUUAAGUUGGGAGGAAGGGCAGUAAGUUAAUACCUUGCUGUUUUGACGUUACCGACAGAAUAAGCACCGGCUAACUCUGUGCCAGCAGCCGCGGUAAGAC